UCUCUCCCUCACCGCACACUUCUCUUCUCCUUCUUCUUCUUCUUCUUUUUCUUUUGUUUCUUUUCUUCCUUCUCCCUCUUUCUCCCCUCUGCUCACGCACGCCACCCAGGCCACUUCCCCUCUUCUUUUCCCUUCUUCCCUUCUUCCCUUUCCUUUCCCCUUCAUCUCUUGCACACCGAUACAAAGCCACCCGUGAGAGAGACUUCCGUGAUGGUGAGUAUGUGUAGUUCGGCCAUGGGGGAAAACCAACGAAAAUCAACAAGGAUAGUGUCCGGAUUGGAGACUUUAAUGGGUUCUCCAAUGUAGAGUUCGAGUCAUGUGUCCAAUGUAGCCAAGAUGUAGUUUCUUUGGCUACAGGUAUUCUGGUCGUAGUUGAUGAUGUUGUAGAAGUGUACUUGAGAUAUUAUGACUGAAGCUCGCCGCGACGGUUGUAAUUGUCAAACCAUGGGUUGUCCACUAUUCUAUAGGUUUGUUUAUGGCUUGUGACGUUUGUGUCACUUGUUAUUGUAUAAAGCCAUUUAUGUUAUGUAUUUAUUAUGAGAAAAGACUUAAACAGAUAGAUGUAAUAUGGCUCUUUGUUUAUGAUUAUUUGUAAUAGAGGUUUAUGUUA